ACUGCCUUUCCAUUUGAAUAGACCAUAUAUAGUAGUAAUAUCUGUUCUUAUCAGUUUAAUAUCUGAUGCGUCUUCUAGUUGAGGACUGUCUAUUAAAUGGGUUUUUGGAACUGGAUUAAAAUUUAGGGGAAGCUGCCUUAAUAUAAAUCCGAUGUCCAGUUCAGAUCUAACUGGGAUUGUCUUUCU